rfam:Foot-and-mouth disease virus A isolate a22iraq64 iso86, complete genome.
ACGCAGGUUUCCACAACUGACACGAACCGUGCAACUUGAAACUCCGCCUGGUCUUUCCAGGUCUAGAGGGGUAACACUUUGUACUGUGCUUGACUCCACGCUUGGUCCACUAGCGAGUGUUAGUAGCAGCACUGUUGCUUCGUCGCGGAGCAUGAUGGCUGUGGGAACUCCCCCUUGGUAACAAGGACCCACGGGGCCAAAAGCCACGUCCUCACGGACCCAUCAUGUGUGCAACCCCAGCACAGCAACUUUACUGCGAAAGCCACUUUAAGGUGACACUGAUACUGGUACUCAACCACUGGUGACAGGCUAAGGAUGCCCUUCAGGUACCCCGAGGUAACAUGUGACACUCGGGAUCUGAGAAGGGGGCUGAGGCUUCUUUAAAAGCGCUCAGCUUAAAAAGCUUCUAUGCCUGAAUAGGCGACCGGAGGCCGGCGCCUUUCCACUUACCAACACUGUUUU